GCUCCGGAGUUCUAGGAGCACAGGCGCUCUGGGGCUCGCCGUGGGCUCUGGGAGCGCGGUGGCUGGUUUCGGAGGUGCUGGCGUGUCCCUUGCCCAGCGGGGGCCUGCUGUGGGGGAGGGCGGCAGGGCCAUGGUCGCACCCGUUCAGCAGGCCCCGGGCAGCUCGGCCACGGGCCCUCGCCUGCCGGCGGCCCUCUCGCUCCUCCUCAGGCGGCGCUGGGACGCGUCUCGACAGCUUGUAGCCAUGAGAAAUCAGGAGGUCUUCGACGCUGUACAUAAUGCACCGGCUUCAUCAAAGCUCGGCCCCGGGGAGCAGCGCGCGGGCGGGACCCACACUGAAGGGACAACAGAGAGGGUCUGAGAGCAGUGGCCCGUCCUCCCGAACCCGGCUGACGCCUCCCUGUCCCUGCGCUCCCACCGAGCGAGACUCGGGUGCGAACACCGCAUGGGCCCACGCGGAGGGGGGCGUGGAUGGCUCCGCCCGGGCGCCCACCCCCGCCGGCCGCCCCUCGCAGAGGAGUCUGGAACAGCGUCUAAGCAACGGGUGAUUAACGGCGUCCACCGUUCCCUGGCCCCCGGCAUCUGAAAACAAUGGGCAGACGCAGGAGGACAAAAUAAAUACAGACUCGGAAGCUGCAAUUACGACUGGGAGUUUCUAAAAAGAGCAACGACCAGCCACGGGCUUUACCUUGUUACACUUCCCGCUUCCACCUCGGUGCCCUACCGCUGCUCUCAGAGGGCGACGGCGGGGGCGAGCUGCCUGCCGAUGGGCUUAGGGGUAACCCGGGGGAGCCUCGGAAGGCAGAGCUGAAGUCUUGGGGCUUGCUGGCCCUGCACACCCCGCCCGCACCCUGCAGCACCCCACACGCUCUCCCCCCGGGAAAUCUCUAAGAAUCACAUUUCUCCCCCAGAACCCUUGGGGCAGCCACACCCCCAAUCCCAGAUCCCACCAGGGUCCACGGGCUCAACAGCGGCCACUCCCCUGGGGUACAUGGUCCGAGGCCACAGCCCUGGCAAAGAACAAAAGGAACCCACUGAGGUCAGGAACCUAUGGGAGGCAGGAGUACAAAGUACACCAGCUUCCACACACAGGACCUGGAGCGAUGCAGAUUCAGCUUAGUUUCUUUAGCGUCCUUAUCUACUUAAGGCUUAAUGGGCUGCCUCAAGAGGCAGCAAGAGGCCCACCAUGAACACAUCAGUCAGAGCAGCCCCCAGGAGAAGACGCUGACAUGCUGAGGAGACAGGCAUCCAAUGAACUGCUGCACAAAAAGAUGUCCCUUUUAAAGUUGCUUUCUGAUCCAGAGAUACCAGCAUCCUAAAUCAACAGCAUUUAAUUUGAUCACCCACUCACCAAUUCAAAGCGUUGCUAUAAAGACAAACAUAUAGUAAAAUUUGACAUAAAUGUAAGUUAUUUUAACAUCAGAGUUAACAACUGGAAAAGGUAUGUGUGCAGUUAAAAUAGCACAGUAGCAGGUGCAAUCCUUUUAAUCCCAGCGUUAGUGCUGACACCCAACCCCAGCUAUGACCCCUGUAGUAAGUUAAUAACUGCACCAAACCUGUUUUCUAUUCUGCAAAACAGCAAUGUUA